GGUUGUCCAUGGAGGCAAACUGAUGACCCAGCCAGAGAGAUGUGGGAAGAACAGGCAUAACAGCAGAGACCCAAGGGAAGUUAAAUCAGUUCAUACAUCCAUUUGGAGGGUGCUCAGAAAAUUACAGCAAGAACCUACACACCAGAGAAACCCUUCUGCAAAGCAGAUGAGAAUGUUGUUAGAAGAUUACACUGAAGAUGGAAAGUCUCCAGAGGUUCAGAGAGAUGGCAUCAUCUUCAAAUCAAACCUCAAGACUCUUUUGUCGCGUGUUGGGAUUCUGUGUUGCACGGACUUUUGGAACUUCAGCCUUUUAUUUCCAAGUGAAUACCAUCUCUUGAGAUAACUAAGUGAAACUGGGUGAUUCUCAGUGCUUAACUGGCUUUAGAACAGCAAUUUUAAUUUGAGAUGAAGAUAUUAAUUUCAGAAGUGUUUUAAAUGCUUGCAUUUACAAUAAUCUUCUUGAAUAAAGAAGCUACAAAACUUCA